rnacentral:tRNA from 1 species
GAGGGUAUAGCUCAGUGGUAGAGUGUGUGCUUAGCAUGCACGAGGUCUUGGCUUCAAUCUCCAGUACCUCCA